UUGAAAAUCCCCAAAAAGUGGAUU
rnacentral:snRNA from 1 species